rnacentral:rRNA from 1 species
UGAUUCAGCGGCGGACGGGUGAGUAAUGCCUAGGAAUCUGCCUGGUAGUGGGGGACAACGUUUCGAAAGGAACGCUAAUACCGCAUACGUCCUACGGGAGAAAGCAGGGGACCUUCGGGCCUUGCGCUAUCAGAUGAGCCUAGGUCGGAUUAGCUAGUUGGUGAGGUAAAGGCUCACCAAGGCGACGAUCCGUAACUGGUCUGAGAGGAUGAUCAGUCACACUGGAACUGAGACACGGUCCAGACUCCUACGGGAGGCAGCAGUGGGGAAUAUUGGACAAUGGGCGAAAGCCUGAUCCAGCCAUGCCGCGUGUGUGAAGAAGGUCUUCGGAUUGUAAAGCACUUUAAGUUGGGAGGAAGGGCAGUAAGUUAAUACCUUGCUGUUUUGACGUUACCGACAGAAUAAGCACCGGCUAACU